UACGUAGGGUGCGAGCGUUAAUCGGAAUUACUGGGCGUAAAGCGUGCGCAGGCGGCUAUUUAAGCUUGCUGUGAAAGCCCCGGGCUUAACCUGGGAACUGCAGUGAGGACUGGAUGGCUGGAGUGUGGCAGAGGGGGGUGGAAUUCCACGUGUAGCAGUGAAAUGCGCAGAUAUCAGGAGGAACACCGAUGGCGAAGGCAGGUCUCUGGGCCAUAACUGACGCUGAGAAGCGAAAGCAUGGGGAGCGAACAGG
rnacentral:rRNA from 1 species